rnacentral:tRNA from 1 species
GCAGGGAUGGCGGAGCCUGGUCAAACGCGACGGACUCAAGAUCCGUUGGCUUAGGCCUACGGGAGUUCAAAUCUCCCUCCCUGCA